GCAAGUCGAACGGAAGUCGUUAUAAAAAGGAUUGAAGAUUUAUCUGAUUGAGAUUUUAUAACAAUGGCUUCAGUGGCGGACUGGUGAGUAACGCGUGAGCAACCUGCCUACUAGAGGGGAAUAACAGUGAGAAAUCAUUGCUAAUACCGCAUAUGCCAUGAACAUCACAUGAUGAAAAUGGGAAAAGAGUAAUCUGCUAGUAGAUGGGCUCGCGUCUGAUUAGAUAGUUGGUGGGGUAACGGCCUACCAAGUCAACGAUCAGUAGCCGGACUGAGAGGUUGAACGGCCACAUUGGGACUGAGAUACGGCCCAGACUCCUACGGGAGGCAGCAGUCGGGAAUAUUGCGCAAUGGAGGAAACUCUGACGCAGUGACGCCGCGUAUAGGAAGAAGGUUUUCGGAUUGUAAACUAUUGUCGUUAGGGAAGAUACAAGACAGUACCUAAGGAGGAAGCUCCGGCUAACUACGUGCCAGCAGCCGCGGUAAUACGUAGGGAGCAAGCGUUAUCCGGAUUUAUUGGGUGUAAAGGGUGCGUAGACGGGACAACAAGUUAGUUGUGAAAUCCCUCGGCUUAACUGAGGAACUGCAACUAAAACUAUUGUUCUUGAGUGUUGGAGAGGAAAGUGGAAUUCCUAGUGUAGCGGUGAAAUGCGUAGAUAUUAGGAGGAACACCGGUGGCGAAGGCGACUUUCUGGACAAUAACUGACGUUGAGGCACGAAAGUGUGGGGAGCAAACAGGAUUAGAUACCCUGGUAGUCCACACCGUAAACGAUGGAUACUAGGUGUAGGAAAUGAUUUCAUUUUCUGUGCCGUCGCAACGCAAUAAGUAUCCCACCUGGGGAGUACGGCCGCAAGGUUGAAACUCAGGGAAUUGACGGGGGCCCGCA
rnacentral:rRNA from 1 species